rnacentral:sRNA from 1 species
GAUUGUUCACAGUCAGUUACAGAUUGAACUCUUUGUUCUACUACUUUCCCCCCUCCUCACUACUGCACUUGACUAGUCUUAA